UACGUAGGGUGCAAGCGUUGUCCGGAAUUACUGGGCGUAAAGCGUGCGCAGGCGGUGAUGUAAGACAGAUGUGAAAUCCCCGGGCUCAACCUGGGAACUGCAUUUGUGACUGCAUCGCUGGAGUGCGGCAGAGGGGGAUGGAAUUCCGCGUGUAGCAGUGAAAUGCGUAGAUAUGCGGAGGAACACCGAUGGCGAAGGCAAUCCCCUGGGCCUGCACUGACGCUCAUGCACGAAAGCGUGGGGAGCAAACAG
rnacentral:rRNA from 1 species